rnacentral:rRNA from 1 species
UGCCAGCAGCCGCGGUAAUACGGAGGGUCCGAGCGUUAUCCGGAAUCAUUGGGUUUAAAGGGUCCGCGGGCGGCCAGAUAAGUCAGUGGUGAAAUUCCGUGGCUCAACCACGGAACUGCCAUUGAUACUGUUUGGCUUGAAUCAGUUCGAGGAUGCCGGAAUGUGUGGUGUAGCGGUGAAAUGCAUAGAUAUCACACAGAACACCAAUUGCGAAGGCAGGUGUCCAGAACUGUAUUGACGCUGAUGGACGAAAGCGUGGGUAGCGAACAGGAUUAGAUA